GUGUUCGCUUUGGCAGCACAUAUACUAAAAUUGGAACGAUACACAUAUUAGCAUGGCCCCUGCGCAAGGAUGACACAUAAAUUUGUGAAGCAUCCUAUAUUUAA